GAUGAAGAACGCAGCGAAAUGCGAUAAGUAAUGUGAAUUGCAGAAUUCAGUGAAUCAUCGAAUCUUUGAACGCACCUUGCACUCCUUGGUAUUCCGAGGAGUACGCCUGUUCGAGUGUUAUGAAGCUCUCAAAACGCAAUUGGCUUAAAACCUGAUUGUUGUUUUGGAUUUGAACUUUGCCGUGUUAUAACGGCUGGUUUUAAAAGUAUUAGCUGGUACUAGAACGAAUUGGUUCUACUCAACGUGAUAAUUAUCUGAUCGUUGAGGACAUUCCUUUCACGAGGAAUGGCCAUAGUAAAUUCAAUGGACUGCUUCUAAUCUGGCUUUAAUUCUUUAUUGGAUUAUCCACUUUUCAAAUCUGACCUCGAAUCAGGUGGGACUACCCGCUGAACUUAAGCAUAUCAAUAAGCGGAGGA
rnacentral:misc_RNA from 1 species